GGGCGAUUAACUCAGCGGGAGAGUGCUACCUUCACACGGUAGAAGCCACUGGUUCAAACCCAGUAUCGCCCACCA
rnacentral:tRNA from 1 species